rnacentral:rRNA from 1 species
UGGAGAAUCUUCCGCAAUGGACGAAAGUCUGACGGAGCGACGCCGCGUGCGGGAUGAAGGCCUUCGGGUUGUAAACCGCUGUCAGUUGGGAGGAAAUGCAUAAGGGUUCUCUCUUAUGUUUGACCGAUCUUCAGAGGAAGUCCGGGCUAAGUUCGUGCCAGCAGCCGCGGUAACACGAACCGGACGAACGUUAUUCGGAAUCACUGGGCUUAAAGAGUCCGUAGGCGGCUAUGUAGGUCAGGUGUGAAAUCCCACGGCUCAACCGUGGAACGGCGCUUGAAACCCCAUGGCUCGAGGGAGAUAGAGGAAAGCGGAACUGAUGGUGGAGCGGUGAAAUGCGUUGAUAUCAUCAGGAACACCGGUGGCGAAAGCGGCUUUCUGGAUCUCUUCUGACGCUGAGGGACGAAAGCUAGGGGAGCGAACGGGAUUAGAUACCCGUGUAGUCC